AGGCGACGACGGGUAGCCGGCCUGAGAGGGCGACCGGCCACACUGGGACUGAGACACGGCCAGACUCCUACGGGAGGCAGCAGUGGGGAAUAUUGCACAAUGGGCGCAAGCCUGAUGCAGCGACGCCGCGUGAGGGAUGACGGCCUUCGGGUUGUAAACCUCUUUCAGCAGGGACGAAGCGUGAGUGACGGUACCUGCAGAAGAAGCACCGGCCAACUACGUGCCAGCAGCCGCGGUAAUACGUAGGGUGCAAGCGUUGUCCGGAAUUACUGGGCGUAAAGAGCUCGUAGGCGGUUUGUCGCGUCGUCUGUGAAAACCAGCAGCUCAACUGUUGGCUUGCAGGCGAUACGGGCAGACUUGAGUAUUUCAGGGGAGACUGGAAUUCCUGGUGUAGCGGUGAAAUGCGCAGAUAUCAGGAGGAACACCGGUGGCGAAGGCGGGUCUCUGGGAAAUAACUGACGCUGAGGAGCGAAAGCGUGGGUAGCGAACAGGAUUAGAUACCCUGGUAGUCCACGCCGUAAACGGUGGGCGCUAGGUGUGGGUUUCCUUCCACGGGAUCCGUGCCGUAGCUAACGCAUUAAGCGCCCCGCUGGCAAGUACGG
rnacentral:rRNA from 1 species